GUGCUUGCUCAACAUAUCUGGGGUGCACCCCAUAUCCCUAGCCCCCUGCUUCGCCAUCGAUACCCCCGAGUACUGUGGCGGGUCAACCGACUUUUUCACCUCUCCCCUGUUCACCACCACCACGCAGCGUCACCUCGCGCGCAGCGCUCUCGCGCCCUCUCUCCCUCCUGCUGCUUCCACUGCUGCUGUUGUAGAUUCCGGCUUCAUUGCUCAAGAAACGUGGGCGGCUCUCUCUUGAGUUCAGGGUCUGACGGCGCGCGCGCAUACGAAUGUGUGUGUGUGUGUGUGUGUGUGUGUUCUGUACGGCAUCGCCUCACUCUCACCACCGUCUCCGCCACCAUCGCCACCGCCACACACACGCACGCACACACGAGCGCAGCAGACUCAGACGAGGCGCGCGUGUUGUGGCUGGGAGUUUGUGUGUUUUUUCAUCGCUCGAAGUAUUUUGCAUCUGCGUGGCUAUCGAGACAUCACAGUCAAGAGCCAUCACCGGCAGCACUGCCUCUCUGCAUCCCCCCUCCGUUUCGGAGCAUUCAUAGAAAGGAAGGGUGUCCGGGAGCAGGCCGACGCCUUGCGUAGACGACACGCAGUCGCCGAGAGAGACGGGCUUGGGUGUCGCAGUACAUCAUGGCGGAGAACGCUGCUAUAGAAGCCAUGGUCCCAACAAGCAGAGGAGAUGGAAGACAUCUGAAUCGCCUCCAUCCCCAGCGAUAUCAGCUGCAGCAGCAGCAGCUGACGUCGUCGUCUUCUAUCGCAGGCUGUGAAACCUCCCACCCAGCAGCGCCAAAGACGGCGGGUGUCGAAGGCGGUCGCAUCAACAGUGUUAGUGGUAGCGGUGCGCAACCGCGUCAACACUAUCGACGAGCACGCUCGAUCCACAUCACACUUCGCAAGACGCGCUCCGGCAGUCGCCCUGUGAACGCGCAGCGCGACAGCUCGAUAGGCGUGAGCCGCGACCUCGGUGCUGCCACAGGUGUCGCCGGAGGGCGGACUCCCAAUACACGCCAGCGCCACGGCAGCUUCGGAAGUGCCUCGGGCGCGCUCGGCGAUGCAGUGUCGCCCACCUCGACUGCGACAGUGACCGAAACCCCAACAGGCGCAGGAGGCGCAGCAGCGUCGUCGCCCUUCAAGUUCCCAGCCGUUAGCGGAUGUGUCUCGCCUAAGCUCACCCCGCGCCACCACGACGACGUGGCCAACAGCAACAACAACCCGAAUAGCUGUGGCUCCUCCCGGAUUAUGAACUCACCUAGUUACACCCCGUACAUUCUCCACACGCAUGGGCGCAGCGGGGACGGCACAGCAGCUGCGGCCGCCCCGGCAAUGAACAUGCAAACCACGGCGGCAGCGGCCACAAACGUGGGGUCCUCGUCGUCGUCCAUGGUGGGUGGCGCCGGCAGCAGCAGCAGCGUCGGUCCGUCCUCAGGCAGCUGUGUGCCCACGGUGCACGGCGUUGGUUACUUCAACACUUUUGUGAAGGCGAUACAUCCGUCCGACAUGAAGCAGGCGCUGCUGCCGCCGAACAUGCGUGACCGUGCCGUGGUCCUCGACAUGACACACAGCAACCAGGUAGCGGAGGCUACGGCAGCGCAUCGCCGGCCCUUCUCGUCGGGUGCGAAUUCACGUCGGAACAGCAGCUUCUGCGGCAAUCACGGACAUGUGCACCACCAUCCCUCCGUGUCCAGGGCGCAGGCCGUCUCGCAGCGGAGUUACGCAAGCGGCUCCAACGGCGGCCUGCGCAGCAGCAGCAGCAUGAGCGGCUUCCACACUGCUGCCGGCAUCUAUAACGGCAAGAACAGCAACCACCACCACGCAGCCGCGACGCAUGGCGUCAAUGACUGUGCGCUUCCAUAUCCGGAAAGCGCCUCGGCUGCGCCGCAUCCGCAACCGCACCAACAGCAGCAGCCGGGCCAUCCGCCGUCGCCCGCGUGGCGGGGUCACCUCUCCAGUAUGCCGACUGUGAACCUCGGCACCUCGCCUCGCCUUUUACCGUCUGCAGUGCCCGCCGCCGCGUCUGACCAGGAGGAUCAACACCGCCGUCACUAUCGCGCGCGCAGCUACACGGUGGGGGGCCGGGUUAGCAGCAGCCGCAGCGGCGGCGGUGCCAUGGUCGCUGCCACCGCUGCGGACGCCACGACACCAAGUGCUAGCGGCAGCGUUGGCUACGUGGACAGCGCCACCUCGCCCAGCCCGAACCGCUCCGUCUCUCUCGCCUCCUCCAGCCCUGCUGCUGCAGCGCCGGUAUUCGGCGCCGUGGCGACGACGGCAGCAGGGCAGUGCUCCCGCACCCCCACCUUGAUCCGUCACCCCAGCGUGAGCAGGGCGGGAUCCUCGGUGGAGACAACGAUGACGGCCAUCACGGCCACCUUGCCGCCAGCGCCGCCCCUGCCAGCGUACGCGGAGAGCAGAGCCUCCUCUGCCGUCACAGGCACGAUGACGCCGCGGACGCCGCGGACGCCGCGACCAGCCAACGCCGCAAUAGAAGCAGCGGCAGCGGGGGUCAGCAGUGCGCGACGGGGCACCCGCCUCAUCGAACACCCGAGCCACGGCGCCUUCUCCGGGCACCAGCGGAGCGUAUCUUCAGAUAUUGUGAACGGUCUCGACGACUCUGUCGACAGCGUACGAUGCGGCAGUUUGCCGAGCGCGUCGAACACGUCGGCGGCUAACAUGAUGGGCAGCGCGAGCGGCACGUCGGACUGCUAUAACUACGGGAGUGCCACGGCGGCUAGUCGGCACGGUGGCACGGCGGUCUUUGCCGCCUCUCACCGAUACGCUAGAGACAGCGUGGCGAGCGAGGAUAAGGCAGACGACGAGGGCCGCCGUCAUCGCGGUCCGCUCCGUCGCUACAGCACAACACUCACGAACACAACGACGGAAGACGAGGACGAGCCGCAGCAGCAGCUGGCUCAACCGUCAACCCUUGAGCUGCUCCGCGGUAAUCACUUGAGACGGGAGAGCGGUGCUUGUGCUGGCGGCGGCAACGUCAAUGUUGCUGUAGUGCUGAGUCGCGCGCGCGCCGCCCGCACGAGUGCGACGGGAGCGGCGGUCGCCGGUUCCACCAACCGCGAUGGCUCACCGACGACCGCCAUUGAGCGCUGGCGUGCGCAGGAGCAGCAAAGAAAGAGGGACGAAGAGCGGCAACAGCAACAGCAGCGGCAGCGGCUAAGCGCACGGCAGUGGCGUGAGGCCUUUCACAGGCUCCAAGAGAAGCGCGUGCAGUGGCGCAUGCGCGGCUACAUUGGACGCGGCACCUCUGGCGUGGUAUACGAGGGUGUCCUGGAAGACCGCAAGCAGACCCCGGUGGCAGUGAAGGUGCUAGAGGUCGGCGUUCCCAUACCGGUCGACCUCGACACCUCUGGCGAUGACGGCGACGGCCAGAGCAGCAGGCAGGCUCGGUACACUGAAAAUAGCGGCACCCCCACAAGCGCUGCUGCUGCCGCUGCCGCGGAUGCAGCGUACAUGUCGCCCUCCCAGCAGGAGGCGCUCCUCGUGCUUCUACGCGAGGUGGAGAUGAUGGAGAAGCUGCACCACGAGAACAUCGUCACGUGCCUGCGCUGCCAGGUCACGCCAGUGCAGGACCGAUACUUGGAACUACACCAGCAGCAACAGCAGCAGUGCCGUGACGGUGGCAGCACCAAUGGCAAGGGCCUCUCCGGCGCGGCGGCAGCUGGGAGAGACAGCGAAAGGGUCGGUGAGCGGCGGUACGACAGCGCCGGUCGUCACUAUGUCGACAACGGCAAAGCCGCCGUCUGCGACGGCGCUUUCUCCGCAAGCCAGUCGCCGCAGCGCAACGCCGCUGCCCGCAUUCCUGUCCAGGUGGAGAUCGUGAUGGAGUUGUGCAACCGCGGCACCAUCUCCAGCGUCGUUCGCCGGUCGCCUGGCGGUCAGCUGCCAGUGAGGGUGGCUCGACGCUACCUGCGCGAUGUGCUCAAAGGCCUCGCCUACCUGCACCGCAACAACUUUAUUCACCGGGAUGUGAAGGGCGAUAAUGUCCUCAUCAGCGCAGACGAUGUAGCGAAGUUGGCGGACUUUGGGUGCUCGCGGCGCAUCGUGUUGACGAACAACGUCCACGGCACCGCUGACAGCGAGGGGACCACCAGCAGCAUCGCCACCACACGCACCGCCGCGACAGACUCGCGCUUCACGACCAUGGCGGAAUAUCAGUGGUUCGACACCACCGGCGUGGCGCAGACGAUGGUCGGCACCCCCAUGUUCAUGGCACCGGAGAUCAUUCAGGCCUCGGGGCCGCCGUGCAUGGCGACGCCAACAGCGAGCUCUCUAGCGUCUUCGAGCGGUGAAGGCAACGAUGGCGGGCACGGGAGCAGCAGAAAGGCUACGUCACCGCCAGCACCGGUCGGCUACACCGCCUCGGCAGACAUCUGGUCCUUUGGAUGCCUCGUUCUCGAAGUCUUUGGCCGCACACCGUGGCCAACGUCGGGGAGCAACGCCUACCACCUCAUGAAGCAGAUCGAGCAGUCGGUUGCCGACCUCCCGCCUGGGGUGCCAGAUGGCACACCGGCGGAGCUGCUGGGCCUGCUGCGCUGCUGCUUUCACCGUGACCCGCACCGUCGCAGUACGGCCCGUGCACUGCUCCGUGCACCGUGGAUGACGUGCAAGGACGAGGAGCUGGAGGAGAUGCCACCACGCAGACGCUAUUAGAGGUGGCUACUGGGUUGCUCUUGCUACAAGUCGGCGACAUGCAUCAACUCACGCAGUACAGCCUGCGCAUUCGUGUUGAGAGGUGGAAGGAGCGGGCGUGUUGCGACACCUCGUAGUUGGCGAUAUCGAUGUGUGCACUGGUGGUGUCCUCUCCGUACCCCAUAGCGUUUUCUUUCUUUUUUUUAUUCUUUGCGGGAGGACGGCUCUCCUCCCCCUCUCCCUCUCCCUCUCCCCCUCCCUCUCCCUCUCCGGCGCUGCCGCUCACACGCUCAAGGGCAUGCUUUCUGUGAAAGAUGUGUGUGUGUGUGUGCGUGUGUGCGUGCGUGUCUGACGUGGUGGUGAUGGGAGGUUGGUAGAUGUCCCCCUCUUGUGUGUGUUGUUAUCAUUGUCGUCGCUGCUGCUCUAUUUCGGCUUGCUCGUAGACUUUGCGUUCUUACGGAGCCUCUAAAAGGAACAAACUCUUCUGCGUUGCUUGUCUGCGUGCAUGCGUGCGUACGUGCGCGCGUUUCCCCAUCCAUCCUGCGCUGCAUUCCUCUCUCCAAUGAUUUCCACCAACCCCCCAUCCCCUCCCCUCCCUUCCCUUUCCUUUGUUUUUCUGCUAAACCGACACACAUACACACAAG
rnacentral:misc_RNA from 1 species